rnacentral:rRNA from 1 species
GACGAACCGUGCGAACGUUGUUCGGAUUCACUGGGCUUAAAGGGCGCGUAGGCGGGCCAUCAAGUCCGGGGUGAAAGCCCCCAGCUCAACUGGGGAAGUGCCUCGGAUACUGACGGCCUCGAGGGGGGUAGGGGCGGGCGGAACUUCCGGUGGAGCGGUGAAAUGCGUAGAUAUCUGGAGGAACACCGGUGGCGAAGGCGGCAUCCUGGACCGGCAUUGACGCUGAGGCGCGAAAGCCAGGGGAGCAAACGGG